CUAUCACCACUCAGCCAUCUCUCC
rnacentral:tRNA from 1 species